rnacentral:rRNA from 1 species
CAAGUCGACCGGCAGCGGAAAGUAGCUUGCUACUUUGCCGGCGAGCGGCGGACGGGUGAGUAAUGUCUGGGGAUCUGCCUGAUGGAGGGGGAUAACUACUGGAAACGGUAGCUAAUACCGCAUAACCUCGCAAGAGCAAAGUGGGGGACCUUCGGGCCUCACGCCAUCGGAUGAACCCAGAUGGGAUUAGCUAGUAGGUGGGGUAAUGGCUCACCUAGGCGACGAUCCCUAGCUGGUCUGAGAGGAUGACCAGCCACACUGGAACUGAGACACGGUCCAGACUCCUACGGGAGGCAGCAGUGGGGAAUAUUGCACAAUGGGCGCAAGCCUGAUGCAGCCAUGCCGCGUGUGUGAAGAAGGCCUUCGGGUUGUAAAGCACUUUCAGCGAGGAGGAAGGGUUAAGUGUUAAU